rnacentral:rRNA from 1 species
GACAUAGGCGGCGAACGUUAUCCGGAAUUACUGGGCGUAAAGGAUGUGUAGAUGGUUUUGAAAGUUAUCGGUGGCAAAUUGGGAGUAAUUCCAUGGAAGUCGGUAAUACUACUUGACUUGAGCAUAGGAGAGGUUAAUGGAAUUUCAUGUGGAGCGGUAAAAUGCAACGAUAUAUGAAGGAACACCAAAGGCGAAGGCUAUUUAACUAUUCUAUUGCUGACAUUG